CGCACAGGGGUUGGCGCCGAGGACCGGACUCCCAGACGCGAGGGGUAUUAAAAAUGAACAUUCUGAACACUUCAGCAACAUGGGAAAUACUUCUGUUAUAAUGUGAAGAGAAAAAAAUCAAAAUCAUAGAACUAUAGUGAAUGGAAAAAUAUGCAUAUACAUACAAUUGAAAGCAAAUAUCCCAAAAGACUAACAGCAAUUAUGUGAGGAUGUUGCAGGCCUCUGUUCUUGUAGGAGUUUAGCUGCAGAACCCUCGUGCGAAUCCUCCUAGGCAUGUUACAUUAUGACACAAUACUGCUCCUUAAGGCAGAUUUACCAUCUAAGUCUCAAGCUAGUGUUUCACAACCAGUGAGAAAUGGUCACCAGAAGAACUAGAAGAGUAUGGCAAUAGUGGCAUUCCUUUUCCCUCUUGAAAAAGCAGAUUAAAGGAUUCAACCAGCAAGUGGUAAAUCAAUGAAAAGCAGUAACAAGGGCCCCAGAGAGGAUCAAAUGGGAGCUUGCAUGUGGAAGUCCUUUGGAAACCAUGAAGCACUCUAAAUGAAAAAGAUGUGUUUUCUUCCUUUUCUCCCUUACACCUUAAACUUCAUGGUGGCACUUGACAGAGCCAGACACUGUGGUAUUUAAAAAAUGCAUGAUGAAAUAAUAAAUCAUUGAGUGAAUAAAUAAAUGAAACAAAACAAAGGCCUGGAGUAGGAAGACAUACAAUAUGAACAGGGAACAAGGGGUUCUCUUUGGAAGCAUGAACUAGAACUGGGUGUUAGCAAUGUGAAUGUGGCUAGUUGGAAUGGGUGCCCUAGGCCAGUGGUUUUCACUAUGUGGUUUGUGGACCAGGAGAGCCACCUGGGAACUUGUUAGAAAUGCAAAAGCCUGGGCCCCACCCAGAGCUACUAAUCUGAAACCCAGGGUGGAGCCCAGCAAUCUGUGUUUUUAACAAUCUCUCUAGGUCAUUCUGAUGCAUAGUAAACUUUUGAGAACAAUGACUUUGUGUUAAGGUGAGUUUGGAAACUUUUCUUCUGUAAAUUAUGUGCUAAUGAAGGUUUUCAACUGUGGAUGGACAUAAUGACAAGGUCUGAGGUUGCACCUAAAAAUAUUUAUGACUCCAGCUUAGA